rnacentral:tRNA from 1 species
UCCCUCGUGGCUCAAAGGUUAAAGCGUCUGCCUGCAAUGCAGGAGACCCAGGUUCAAUCCCUGGGUUGGGAA